rnacentral:rRNA from 1 species
AUUGAACGCUGGCGGCAGGCCUAACACAUGCAAGUCGAACGCGUGGCGGACGUGUGAGUAAUGUCUGGGAAUCUGCCUGAUGGAGGGGGAUAACUACUGGAAACGGUAGCUACUACCGCAUACCAUCAGAUGUGCCGAGAUGGGAUUAGCUUGUGGGUGGGGUAACGGCUUACCAAGGCGACGAUCCCUAACUGGUCUGAGAGGAUGACCAGCAACACUGGAACUGAGACACGGUCCAGACUCCUACGGGAGGCAGCAGUGGGGAAUAUUGGACAAUGGGCGAAAGCCUGAUACAGCCAUGCCGCGUGUAUGAAGAAGGCCUUCGGGUUGUAAAGUACUUUCAGUGGGGAGGCGUUACCAGCAGAAGAAGCACCGGCUAACUCCGUGCCAGCAGCCGCGGUAAUUC